rnacentral:rRNA from 1 species
UACGAAGGGGGCUAGCGUUGCUCGGAAUUACUGGGCGUAAAGCGCACGUAGGCGGAUUGUUAAGUCGGGGGUGAAAUCCUGGAGCUCAACUCCAGAACUGCCUUCGAUACUGGCGAUCUCGAGUCCGGGAGAGGUGAGUGGAACUGCGAAGUGUAGAGGUGAAAUUCGUAGAUAUUCGCAAGAACACCAGUGGCGAAGGCGACUCACUGGCCCGGUACUGACGCUGAGGUGCGAAAGCGUGGGGAGCAAACAGG